GGUUCGAUCAUGGCUCAGAUUGAACGCUGGCGGGAUGCUUACACAUGCAAGUCGAACGGCAGCACGGACUUCGGUCUGGUGGCGAGUGGCGAACGUGGGUGAGUAAUGUAAUGGAACGUGCCUAGUAGCGGGGGAUAACUACGCGAAAGCGUAGCUAAUACCGCAUACGCCCUUCGGGGGAAAGCGGGGACCUUCGGGCCUCGCACUAUUAGAGCGGCUGAUAUCGGAUUAGCUAGUUGGUGGGGUAACGGCUCACCAAGGCGACGAUCCGUAGCUGGUUUGAGAGGACGACCAGCCACACUGGGACUGAGACACGGCCCAGACUCCUACGGGAGGCAGCAGUGGGGAAUUUUGGACAAUGGGGAAACCUGAUCCAGCCAUCCCGCGUGUGCGAUGAAGGCCUUCGGGUUGUGUAAGCACUUUUGGCAGGAAAGAAACGGCACGGGAUAAUACCCCGUGCAACUGACGGUACCCGCAGAAUAAGCACCGGCUAACUACGUGCCAGCAGCCGCGGUAAUACGUAGGGUGCAAGCGUUAAUCGGAAUUACUGGGCGUAAAGCGUGCGCAGGCGGUUCGGAAAGAAAGAUGUGAAAUCCCAGAGCUUAACUUUGGAACUGCAUUUUUAACUACCGAGCUAGAGUGUGUCAGAGGGAGGUGGAAUUCCGUGUAGCAGUGAAAUGCGUAGAUAUGCGGAGGAACACCGAUGGCGAAGGCAGCCUCCCGGGAUAACACUGACGCUCAUGCACGAAAGCGGGGAGCAAACAGGAUUAGGAUACCCUGGUAGUCCACGCCCUAAACGAUGUCAACUAGCUGUUGGGGCCUUCGGGCCUUGGUAGCGCAGCUAAUCGGCAGGAAGUUGACCGCCUGGGGAGUACGGUCGCAAGAUUAAAACUCAAAGGAAUUGACGGGGACUCGCACAAGCGGUGGAUGAUGUGGAUUAAUUCGAUGCAACGCGAAAAACCUACCUUACCCUUGACAUGUCUGGAACUCGGGAGAUUUGGUAUCGUAGAGGAACGACCGGUCCACGCAAACGCAUGGCCCUUCGCCGCCCUGUCGUGAGAGCGGUUAAAACGCACGCCAGCAACCUUUGUCAUUGUUUUUGCUGAAGUGACAUCUGGCAAUGAGAUCACCGGUGGGCUGAACCGGAGGAAGCGGGAUUUGACGCCGUCCGCCAUACCCGGCGGUAGGGUCGUCUGCCCAAUGGUCGCAACAGCAGUCUCUACGCAACCCGGGCGAGGGAGCGACCCCAGAACCUGAUCGAGGUCCGGGACUGCAGUCUGCGGCCUCCGACGCAGUCGGAAUCGCUAGUAAUCGCGGAUCAGCAUGUCGCGGUGAAUACGUUCCCGGGUCUUGUACACACCGCCUGUCACACCAUGGGAGUGGGUUUUACCAGAAGAAGAAGGCCUAACCGUAAGGAGGGCGAUUACCACGGUAGGAUUCAUGACUGGGGUGAAGUCGUAACAAGGUAA
rnacentral:rRNA from 1 species